GGAGGCUGUGGGAGAAUGAUGCAGACGUGGAACCCUCCACCCAUACUUUUUGUUGGUGCAGGUUAAUUACUGAAAAGAUAUAGUUCAGGAACUGAGGCUGACGUAACUGAAUUGCUAAAAGCUAUCUUGAGAGAUGCUUAAAGGCACAUCUCUGGGCAUAAUGAAUGAAAACGUUCGACGGGACCACAAGAACAUUUCCAGAUGGAUCACACCCGUGGCAUGCUGCUGCAGAUGCUAACGAUGUCCCUGAGCUUAUCGUAAGACUACUUGAAGUCAUAGGUGGAAAGACUGUCCUACAGAUCUUCCUACCAGAGACCCUCUGAGAGAUGAUCUUUGUUUUGUUCCAUAUCAAUACCCAUUUUCCAGCUGCACGCAAGAUGAAAUAAUACAUUGCUUCUUUUAUACAAGGCAAUAAAUGACCUUAAUAAAGUAAUACUUAUUUAAGGGGCAGCAUGGCUUGUUAAACUGGGGAAAGAAUGAAGAUCAAGAAAGUUCCAGAGAUGUUGGCAACUGUCUUUCUCAAGACAAUGGAGUGCACCUCCAGGGGUGAAGUCAAACCACUGGGAAAUCACAGUGCCUGCUGUGGCUGCAGAGACCGGUAACUCAUAACUGCUGCCUUCUGCAUUGUUAUUUCUGCAUUAGCAGCACUGGAGUGACAUCCUCAGGGCGCAAGCCCAGGAACUGUAUAUGGAGGUCCUGGCCUGCCCAGAUGACAAGAGCUCAUUGAUGUGGGCCAAAGGAAAGCAGAGCAAUAUGUUUGGCACCAGUUGCUGGAAGGAAGCAUACAAGACUCCAUCAAGCCCUUUUCACAAUGUCACAAUUCUCUGAGAUGGGAAAUGCGAUGACUCAUGAUAGGGUAUUCUCAAGAGUGGCACCCGACUCUGGCAUGUCCUCCAUUCUCAGGUGCAAUCAAUAUCAACAAAUUGAA